GUACUGCUGAAGAGUCGAAAGCACUAGGACGAAACAGUUGUCCAGUAC
rnacentral:hammerhead_ribozyme from 1 species